UAGUUAUUUUUUUCUAUUACCCGUAUGGAUAUUUUGUAGUAGUAUGUCUGCAUUAUAUACAUAUGUAUAUGUAUAUGUUAUAUAACUUUUUACUUAGUUUUAUAUGUUUAGUUAUUUUUAACAUAUGCAUAUUUAGCGUCACGAAGAAACACAUUAGCUAAACUCUACAGCACAGGCAUUAACGCACAAAAUAUAUAUUUAUUUAAUAUUAUAUGUUUGUAUAAAUUUUGUAUAAACAGUGAAAUAAGUGAAAAAGAGAUGGUUAGAGAAUAGAGUCCAUGUCGUACGAACAAGUUUGCGUCACAUUAAACAUAAUAUUUGCACGUUUAAGCUUUUUAUGUAAGCAUUUCAGUAAGUGUGAAUCAUCCUGUCGUAUUGUUAGCUACAACGAAUUCAGUCACUUGACGUUUGAAGGCAACUACAAACUGAUAGCAACUAAACAAUUACGACGUUAAAUUACAACGAUGAUUUAGACGACUAUUAAUUUAUUACGAAUAUUUAAUGUUUUGUAUGUAUGUAUUUACUAUAUGCAAUUGUACAACGUUGACCAAGGCGAGACAUCGCGUAUUUUGAAGUAAAAAAAAAAAAAACUAUACAACGAUAAAGAUUUGCAACAUGAGACAAAACGAUGAGACUACAUUUACUACAGUCGGCAAAAAAAUAACGGAAUUUUAGCACAAUAUUUAGUUAUAUGUAAAUGUAUAUGGUCUGCUUAAUUGGUUGUAUUGGUAUCAUAAAAAUGUUUGCUGUUUCAUAAGAUACUUGAAAUAUACAUAUCAGUGACAAUGUAUUAAAGUAGCUUAAGUCUACUUAUGUUAAGGCUAUGUUUGAUUUAAAAUAUAAUACAACGCCUGACGUCUACGCACUUUCUCAGAAUGACUACAAAUGUCUGCAUUUACUUAAUUCGAAUUAAACUAUAAAUAUAUAUAACUGUAAUAAUAAUAGUUUGUAGCUCUUUCCGAAAACAAAUUUCUUUCAAACAGAGAAACACUGCAGCUAUUUUUCGGGAGAAAUACAAUAUAUUCUGCAUUGAUAAGACUGAUUUAGCUUUGCUAUUUUUUCGGAACCAUAGCCAGGGCCAUGUUAAUCGAACGACGGUUCGAUAUGCUACUGGAAAUUAAUUUGGCCUUAUUAAAGUUGAAGGUGAAAUAAUUUGGUCCAAAUGAUCCUUUUAUUGUACAAUAUAUAUUUAAACUAUGAUCCUAGUAAAGGCAUCUGUGUUCGAUCUCUGUCUCGAUCGUUAUCGUAUAUUUAUUACAGAAGUAAUGAGUACCCUUCAUAGUUAAUGUUAAUAGUUUUGAUGUAGUGAUCGAAUCCGAAUAACGGCCGAUUUUUAAAUAAGGCAGUUAAACAUAAGUUCUCAGUAUAACUUGAGGAACGCGCUUUUUUGUUAAAAAAUUAAAAUAUAUUAACUUUGGCUGCAGCGCAGCUAUAAUGACCUUACAGAUACAAUUCUAAAAGCAGCUAGGUAUAGGUAACGGGGUUUUUUUGGACGUGUGGUUUUAAAGUAGGUAAUACUCUUUUCGAAGUUGGUCUUUUCGACAGCUUUUACUUGAUUUAUACUCAUCUUGCUUUGUCAUUUCAUAAUGAACAGACUUGCUCCAGAACAAAUUUUAAAAAUCGUUCAAAUCUAUUACCAAAAUAAGGGUUCGGUUCGCGCGACGCAUCGCUCGUUAUGUCCAAUAUUUGGUCGACAUAAUCGUCCAGCAGAGUCGGUAGUUCGAGCAACAAUGAAUCGGUUUCCCACCACGUUUACUCUAGUCGAUAAUGCGCUUUCUCAGAGACGUCGUACAUUGCGUACCGAAAACGCUACAAUGCUGCUGUGGAGCAAAGUAUCGAAGGAGAUCUGAAAAAGUACAUCCGACAUCGCAACAAUUGGAGCUGUGCCCAUCGUUUGUGGAAGAUGUUUUGUGAAAGAUUUUGCGGAAGGAUCGCGGCUUACGGGCUUACAAAUUCCAACUCGCGCAAGAAGUGAAGCCGAACGACCAUCAAGUGCUGCGCACGUUGGGUGAAUGGGCCCAAAGCGAGAUGGCGAGAAGAGAAUUUUGUUUAGCGGUGAAGCUGAAUUUUUGUUAGAUGGAUAAUUCAGUUCUUGUUGCGACGUAGUUAUGUCCUCAAAAAGACACCCAUUGUUGUUCUCUAUGGGCAAAGGGAAUCACUGGCUCCUAUUUCUUCAAAAAAUGAAGUCGGCCAUAAUGUUAGAGUUAAUAGGGAACGUUAUUGGAGGAUGUUGAUGUGAAUGACCUUUGGUUCCAAUAAGACGACGCUACAUAUCAUACAGCAAACGAAACAUCUAUUUAAGGAAACUUUUGAAGGAAACUUUUGGUGGGCACAUUAUCUCGUGUCAUUGAUCUGUGGGUUGGCCUUUGGGUUGCGAAGUCGCUUGUCUACGAAGAUAAGCCCGAAACGAUUGACGUCUUGGAAAAGAAGAUUCGGUGAGUUAUUGCUGACGUACGAGCACAAUUGCUACAAAAAGUGUUAAAAAAUUGGGCCUCUCGGCUGGAAUUUAUUCGAGCCAGCAGCGGUGGUCACUUGCCCGAUAUCAUUUCUACAACACAAUGGCGAACCCUCAUCUUAUAGUAAAGCUAAAAAAACAGCUUUUAUAAUCCUAGUUCCUUAACUAUAAUCUUAGCUUCGUUCUGCACAUUUUAUAAUCAGGCACUCGCUAUAAUCAUAUGAUUGGUUGUGCGAUCACUGUUAAGAUCGACAAUAUUGAGAGCCUGAAAUACUGAAGCAGUAUCAGUUUAGGUUACUGAUAAGAACAUAUGUCCAAUUCGACAAUAAACAAUGAGAUAAAGAGCUAAGCCUUCAUUUGAACAAGUCUUUUCAAGUAUAAUUUUAUACUGUAUUUUUAAUAUUUUUGGGUCAAAAUUAAAAAAUAAAAUACAUGCGAGGUAUUGAAAGAAUAUAUCAAACCACAAAUUGGUUUAGUAAAUGUUUAAUUAAUAUAAAUUUUUUUAAUUACACGAUUAAUUAAUUAAAUAAGCUGUAAUUCUAAAACCCCUAACAAAACAUA